rnacentral:rRNA from 1 species
UACAGGGGGGGCAAGCGUUGUUCGGAAUUACUGGGCGUAAAGCGCACGUAGGCGGAUUUGUAAGUCAGGGGUGAAAUCCCGGAGCUCAACUCCGGAACUGCCUUUGAAACUGCAGUGCUAGAAUCCUGGAGAGGCGAGUGGAAUUCCGAGUGUAGAGGUGAAAUUCGUAGAUAUUCGGAAGAACACCAGUGGCGAAGGCGACUCGCUGGACAGGUAUUGACGCUGAGGUGCGAAAGCGUGGGGAGCAAACAGG